rnacentral:rRNA from 1 species
UACGUAGGGGGCUAGCGUUGUCCGGAAUCAUUGGGCGUAAAGAGCGUGUAGGCGGCCCGGUAAGUCCGCUGUAAAAGUCAAAGGCUCAACCUUUGAAUGUCAGUGGAUACUGCCGGGCUAGAGUCCGGAAGAGGCGAGUGGAACUCCUGGUGUAGCGGUGGAAUGCGCAGAUAUCGGGAGGAACACCAAUGGCGAAGGCAGCUUGCUGGGACGGUACUGACGCUGAGACGCGAAAGCGUGGGGAGCAAACAGG